UGGGGGGUCGCCAAGUGGUAAGGCAGCGGACUUUGGAUCCGCCACUCGAAGGUUCGAAUCCUUCCCCCCCAG
rnacentral:tRNA from 2 species